GGGCAGCAUACUUAGCUUGCUAAGUUGAUGGCGACCGGCGCACGGGUGAGUAACACGUAUCCACCUGCCGAUGACUCGGGGAUAGCCUUUCGAAAGAAAGAUUAAUACCCGAUGGCUCCGCAUGGUUAAAGAAUUUCGGUCAUCGAUGGGGAUGCGUUCCAUUAGGUUGUUGGCGGGGUAACGGCCCACCAAGCCUUCGAUGGAUAGGGGUUCUGAGAGGAAGGUCCCCCACAUUGGAACUGAGACACGGUCCAAACUCUACGGGAGGCAGCAGUGAGGAAUAUUGGUCAAUGGACGAGAGUCUGAACCAGCCAAGUAGCGUGAAGGAU
rnacentral:rRNA from 1 species